UAAAGCAAAGCAUUUUAUUGCAAGUAUUAGUCAAAGAUACACUUCAAACUGAAGCAAAGCAACACUAAAAGGCCAACAACCUAUGAGAGAGAGAGAGAGAGAGAGUUACAAAAGAAAGAGACAUUCAAACCGAGAGGAAUAGAGCUGUUGGUACAACAGAGGCUUUGCAGCACACAGAGAGACUGAGACAUGGAUCAUCUGGUGGUGAAGGUUCACUGUUCAAACGUGUUACAAACAUCCAUUUGCUGGUGCCUCACUCAGAGGUAUCAGAGCCCAAGAUCUUCACUUUGAAAUCAAACUGACACGAGAGUGAGAGAGAUGCUACAUGGAAAAGAAUAUGACAAUCAGCUCACGCAGAUAUUGUGUUCGAUCCUUGGCCACUGUCGAAUAUCUGUCACCAACACCAUUGUGUGUGUGUGUGUGUGUCUACAUGGGAAACACGGCAUCAGGAGCCUAAUCUCUUGUGCAAUAUUUGGUUCAAAGUCAUUAUUGGAAUGAUAAUGGGAUGAAAACAGGUGAAACAUCUGAUAGCCAUGGGAGUAAACAUUACAGUAAACAUCGAUUCAAGGACAGAGGGCCUUUUUGUUCGACUUUGGAACAGGAUGGACAACACUCAAAAGCUCCAUGUCUCUGAUCCUCUGACUGGGUGAGGGACAACCCAUGAAAACAGUUUAUAAAGAAAAAAACAAAAAACAGCAAUUCAUCAAAACACAACUCAACCUUGGUUCAUUAUACAGGCACAGGUCUCUGUAAUCCAGCUCUGUGAGGACAUUCCAGUCAAGUCUGAGUCAAACCGCGUCUGGAAAGGUUCGUCUUUGGAUUGACAUCAGCAAAUUUUUACAUGAUUGAGAUUUUUUUUAUUUUACGAUGAUCUCUUCCUCAUUUCUGAAUUUCUGCUGAUUUGAAGCCGAGAGUGAUUUCUGAACGCAGUUUGACCCAGACUUGUUUUCAGUUCUGACAUCAGUACAAACAUGCCAGAGUAAAUCUUUGAAAGCUGUUCGUACAUUGUAAUCCUGCAGCAAUACUAGUGGUUUACAUGAAAUAUGAAAAGAGAUGAAAACGCCGGUAGAGUUUUGUGAGCACAUGGAAAUCUGACGACUACGUAAGAACGCACUUAAGGCUGAGGCGUGUCUUCUUUUUUUGUGGAAUGAGACCUGUUUCCUGCUCUUUAACAAAAAGGUUCUGGCACAAGAAAAAACUUGACGAAUUUCAAAAGGAAAGAAGAUUCAACACUUUAAAUUUUCACCAGGAUUUAAAGAUUUCUGCCGUUUCAACAUCGACCUUUUCUUCCCUUGCUGCUUUUAAAAGUUUUCUUCUUUUCUUUUCCCACCUGCUCUUUACUGGCUCAGGGAGUUCGCAUGGCUAACGUACCAAUUAGCAGCUUGGGAUGAUUGAAAAAAAAAGAAAAAAAAAGUUGACUAUCCGACAAUAUUUGACGUCAGUAUGGUUCAGAAAUGGUUCCCUUCGUCAGAGAUGAGCUGCAACAUGUGGGGGUUAGCGUUUUGGCCUUCUAAAGUUUGUAAAAAGAAAAGUGGAGGGCAAAAAAAUACUGAGAAAAGAAAGAGGACGAUUUGACCUUCAGACGUCAACCAGAACCUGAUACACGGCUCCGUUUGUCCAGGCAAAAUAGACCUCCUCCUUUUCCUCCACCUCGCACCCCCCUCCAUAUUGUUGUGCUUGCGUGUCUAAGAGAAUAAGGCGUCAACAUGGAGGGGGAGGGGCUAAAGGCCUCGUUUCACUCCUGGCUCCACCCCCACCAUGCUGCAAUAUGAUGCGGAGACUCCAGCCGCUUGAACGCACUCUCAAUAAAUACACCAUAAAAUAUUCCGCACAUAUAUAUUUCAUAUAUAAAUUUAAAAGAAACGACACAUUUAAAUAGGACAACAAAGUAAAGUCGGCUCAAGAACAAUUCGUCAAAAUCGGAUAAGUGUUAAGAC
rnacentral:lncRNA from 1 species